rnacentral:rRNA from 1 species
AGGACGAACGCUGGCGGCGUGCUUAACACAUGCAAGUCGAGCGAGGCUCCUCCUUCGGGAGGAUGCCCUAGCGGCGAACGGGUGAGUAACACGUGGGCAACCUGCCCCUAGCACUGGGAUAACCCCGGGAAACCGGGGCUAAUACCGGAUACGACUUCGGAAGGCAUCUUCUGAAGUGGAAAAGGUUACUGGCUAGGGAUGGGCCCGCGGCCUAUCAGCUUGUUGGUGGGGUAAUGGCCCACCAAGGCGACGACGGGUAGCCGGCCUGAGAGGGCGACCGGCCACACUGGGACUGAGACACGGCCCAGACUCCUACGGGAGGCAGCAGUGGGGAAUAUUGCACAAUGGGCGAAAGCCUGAUGCAGCGACGCCGCGUGAGGGAUGACGGCCUUCGGGUGUAAACCUCUUUCAGCAGGGACGAAGCGAAAGUGACGGUACCUGCAGAAGAAGCACCGGCCAACUACGCGCCAGCAGCCGC